GAAGUAAAAGUCGUAACAAGGUCUCCGUUGGUGAACCAGCGGAGGGAUCAUUACCGAGUUAUACAACUCCCAAACCCACUGUGAACCUUACCUCAGUUGCCUCGGCGGGAACGCCCCGGCCGCCUGCCCCCGCGCCGGCGCCGGACCCAGGCGCCCGCCGCAGGGACCCCAAACUCUCUUGCAUUACGCCCAGCGGGCGGAAUUUCUUCUCUGAGUUGCACAAGCAAAAACAAAUGAAUCAAAACUUUCAACAACGGAUCUCUUGGUUCUGGCAUCGAUGAAGAACGCAGCGAAAUGCGAUAAGUAAUGUGAAUUGCAGAAUUCAGUGAAUCAUCGAAUCUUUGAACGCACAUUGCGCCCGCCAGCAUUCUGGCGGGCAUGCCUGUUCGAGCGUCAUUUCAACCCUCGAGCCCCCCCGGGGGCCUCGGUGUUGGGGGACGGCACACCAGCCGCCCCCGAAAUGCAGUGGCGACCCCGCCGCAGCCUCCCCUGCGUAGUAGCACACACCUCGCACCGGAGCGCGGAGGCGGUCACGCCGUAAAACGCCCAACUUUCUUAGAGUUGACCUCGGAUCAGGUAGGAAUACCCGC
rnacentral:rRNA from 1 species